AGAUCAUUUCCUGCUCUGAAACAGAAGUGCCGCGGAGCUCAGAACACCCAGCUGAGAGCCAGAGCCUCUUCUCACCCUGCAGGGGACAGCUGUCAGCAUGCCGCUGGCCCGUGUGCUGUGGGCAGUCGUGGUGUCCACCUGUCUUGGAUCCAGCAUGGCCCAGAAGGUCACCCAGACUCAACCAGAAAUGUCUGUGCACGAGGCAGAGACCGUGACCCUGGACUGCACGUUUGACACUAUUGUCAGUAAUUAUUAUUUGUUCUGGUACAAACAGCGUCCCAGUGGGGAGAUGGUUCUCCUUAUUCGCCAAGAAGCUAAUAAGCAAGAGAAUGCAACAAAUAAUCGCUUCUCUGUGAACUUCCAGAAGGCAGACAAAUCCUUCAGUCUCAGGAUCUCAGCCGCCCAGCUGGAGGAUGCUGCGAUGUAUUUGUGUGGUCUCAUGGAGGGCACAGUGACAGGAGCAACAGAGGGAGGUUUACAGAAACCUCAGACCUCAGCAUCUGUGCAGAGGUCGGGGUGGGAGGAGUGACUAGGGCACCAGGAACAUAGAAAAUCAUUGACUUCUCUUGGAAUAAAAGCUCCUUCUAUCUGAAUAUAAGAAACACAGAGAGAUGGAUAUCUGUAAGCUACAAUCCUUAAAAUAACAGUAAAAAUAAUAACAUAUGUAGUGUUUUCCAGUUUUACGAAGUAUCUUCAUACAUUGUGUCACAUGUAACCCUUCUCGCUUUGCAUGGUAUACGUGACAAAUAAGACUUCCUAAGCAUGUCCUCUGCCCAGCAAAUCUUUAUAAUUUGCCUGGGAGCUCAUGCUUCCAAAAUUCAUAAUGUUUUCCAUUUUGCUGGUUGGUGCUUGUUCUUUUAAUUGUCCAUCCAUGUCCAAAACUGAAUCUCUCAGAACAAGGUACCCAUUUUACAACACAGUGGAUGUGACUGUUGAAGGCGUGACCAAGGAAAGGAUCCACUGGUCCUACCAUGAACCAAAAAGUUGACCUAGACCCAUGGUACCUAGGUCAGAUGACCUAGAAAAAGGAUGGAAUGGCUUGUUAAAAGCUCAGUUAAGAAGCCAGCUCAACGGCAUCACCCUUAGUGGUUGGAAUGCCAUGUUCCCGGAAGUGAUAGUAUUCAUUAAACCAAUGGCUGAUACAUGGUGCUCUGGCUUCCUGGCUAAAUUAUGCAAAUUUAGAAAUGAAGAGCUAGAAGUAGACUAGACUCUUCUACUAUCACUCCCUGUAACUCAUUUCCAGAAUUUGUGUUGCCCUUUCCUACAGCCCUAGGCUCUGCUGGAUUAGAGUUCCUAGGACCCUGCAGAAGAAUGCUUCCACCAGAGGAUCCAGUAAGGGUUUCACUGAACCUGCAGCUACGACCACUGCCUACGCCAUUUCAAACUCCUUGUGCCAAUUGUCCAGCAGGCAAAGAAAGGAGGGGUAAUUGACUCUGAUUAUCAUGAAGCAUCGGGUUGUUAUUACACAAUGGGGGCAAAAAGGAAUGUGUCUGGAAUCUGUGUUUCACAUUGAGUAGUAUUUCAUGCCCAAUAAAAACAGCAAGUGGCAGUUGUGGCUUGAAAAGGACAAAGUAAACAAGAACUGAGACCCCUGAGCAAUGAAGGCCUGCGUCCCCCUAUCAGGCAAGCAAUCUAAGUCCAGUAAAGUGCUAUCCAAUGGCAAGGAAAUCUAGAGAAUGGGGGGCGGGGAGGGGGGGAAGAGUUUUAAUUACAGCCUUGGGACCAGUUAAAGAAGUGGGGCCUGAAGGUCAUGUAUUAAGUGUUUUAGAUGGAAUUCAGUCCACCACAACCUUGAAGACUCAGUGAUGUAGUGAAAAUAAUACAGGGCAAACACCCACCUGAGUAGUGCAAAGAAAGCAUUGUAAUCAAGAUCUGAUGUGCUUUCUGGUCAUGUCCAAAUGCCCAGCUCCGAUUCUAUCAAUAGGUAUGGUAGAUAAUUCUGUGGAUACUCACACCCAUCUCAAGCUGAUAACAUCCAACAUUACACAUGCACUGUGUAUUUUUUUACUUCUUACCCCAGAGCCUUCUCUGACUCCUCAGGAGCUCACUCAGGCUGUGGGUAAGCACAGCCUGAAAGAAGAAUUACCACCUCCGCUGGCAAGUCCCAACCAGUGGGAGGGAGGACCAAGGCAUGCCCUAGCUCUCUGCCUUCCAGCAGAGGGUCCCAGAGGGACUUCCUGUGUGCUUACCAGGAGAUCCGGGCAGA